GCCGCAUUGGCUCAAUGGUAGAGCGUCCGCUUCCUAAGCGGAAGGUUGCGGGUUCGAGUCCCGCGUGUGGUA
rfam:Botryobasidium botryosum FD-172 SS1 unplaced genomic scaffold BOTBOscaffold_2, whole genome shotgun sequence.